rnacentral:tRNA from 1 species
AUUUAAAUAGUUUAAAAAAAAUUUUGAUUUGUGGAAUCAAAGAUGUUAUUUUAAUUAACUUUAAAUA